AUUGAACGCUGGCGGCAUGCCUUACACAUGCAAGUCGAACGGCAGCGCGGACUUCGGUCUGGCGGCGAGUGGCGAACGGGUGAGUAAUACAUCGGAACGUACCCUGUUGUGGGGGAUAACUAGUCGAAAGAUUAGCUAAUACCGCAUACGACCUGAGGGUGAAAGUGGGGGACCGCAAGGCCUCACGCAGCAGGAGCGGCCGAUGUCUGAUUAGCUAGUUGGUGGGGUAAAGGCCCACCAAGGCGACGAUCAGUAGCUAGUCUGAGAGGACGAUCAGCCACACUGGGACUGAGACACGGCCCAGACUCCUACGGGAGGCAGCAGUGGGGAAUUUUGGACAAUGGGGGCAACCCUGAUCCAGCAAUGCCGCGUGUGUGAAGAAGGCCUUCGGGUUGUAAAGCACUUUUGUCCGGAAAGAAAUCGCGCUGGUUAAUACCUGGCGUGGAUGAGGGUACCGGAAGAAUAAGCACCGGCUAACUACGUG
rnacentral:rRNA from 1 species